GAGAGUUAAACAGUACGUGAAAUUGUUGAAAGGGAAACGAUUGAAGCCAGUCGUACCUUCGGGUAAUCAGCCUUUCGGGUGCGAUUCUGUGGAGUGUGAGGAGCUUAAACACCUUCAUGUUUUGCAUAUUCGUACUCUUGGGUGUACUUGUCCGUGUGGUUGGUUAACAUCAAUUUUGGUGGUCAUAAAAUGAUUGGAGGAAUGUAGCUUUGAUCUCGUAUCGAAGUGUUAUAGACUCUGGUAGAUGUGACGAUUGGGAUUGAGGAUUGCAACGGAUACCCCUUUGGGGGCUACCCGUCUGAUCUCUGAAGGUUGCUCCGGUGCCGAAAGCGUGCUUACGGUCAUCGAAAGUGAUUUUCAAAAGGUUAGAACGGGUUAAAUUCGUUAAGGAUGUUGACGUAAUGGCUUUAAACGA
rnacentral:rRNA from 1 species